rnacentral:rRNA from 1 species
UACGUAGGAUGCAAGCGUUGUCCGGAAUUACUGGGCGUAAAGGGCGAGCAGGUGGCACUACAAGUCUGAUGUAAAAUCUCCCGGCUUAACUGGGAGGGGCCGUGCGAAACUGCCGGGCUUGAGGUCGGAAGGGGAAAGUGGAAUUCCGGGUGUAGUGGUGGAAUACGUAGAUAUCCGGAGGAACACCAGCGGCGAAGGCGGCUUUCUGGUCCGAUACUGACGCUGAGGUGCGAAAGCGUGGGGAGCGAUCCGG